GAGAAACUUCCAAAUGUCAGUAUUUGGAGGGUUUAUUGUUUAGGGAUUAUGUAUAAGGUAUAUGCCCAUUUUCAGCUCCACAAGUCUUCCCGUUCCUUGUUCUGCCUCAUGUCCUUGAGCCCAGGGUUUCUCACAUCUGUUUUCUCCAGAGAAGCUAGCAUCAAUCAUCUGCCUGGUGGUGUACUGAGGAAAUUGGGCCCACUUAUAUACUCUACUGUCAUAAGAGAAGAGAUGUCUCCAAAGAAUGAUUCAAGUUCCCCAAAAAGGGGGAACUUAAAUCAGGACCAGCGGGGUUCUUGGCAUGCAUGAUGGAAAAGAAUUUCAAGCUGGGUGUGGUGACCUGCUCCCAUGAUCCUAGCGAUGUGGAGGCUGAGGUGGAAGGAUUUCAGCAACUUAGUGAGGCCUUGUAUCAAAAUAAAAAAUAAAAAGAACUGGGGGAUGGGGUUGAGGCUCAGUGGUGGAAUGUUUGCCUAGCAUGUUUGAGGCACUGGGUUUAGUCCUCAGCACCACACAAAAUAUAAAUAAAUAAACAAACAAACAAACAAAUAAAUAAAUAAAACUAAAAGUUAAAACAAUUUUAAAAGGGCUGGGAUUGUAGCUCAGUGGUAGAGCACUUGCCUCGCAUGUGAGAGGCACUGGGUUGGAUCCUCAGCACCACAUAAAAAUAAAUAAAUAAAUAUAUUGUGUCCAUUUACAACUAAAAUUAUUAAAAAAAAAAACUUCUAAACAACAACAAAAAAGGACUGGGGAUGUGGCUCAGUGGUAAAGCACUCCUGGUACAUUAAAAAAAAAAAAAAAAAGCACAUGCCAGGAAAGGCAUAGACAGAUUUAUUUAGGAAAGUAGAAGCAUAUUCAAGGGAUAACGGGGCAAUCUCAAGAGAGAUAACAUUAGGGUAAAGCAAGGAAUACACAUUCAAGGAAGAAUGUGGGCUAUCUUGAGAGGGAGAGACUAAAGGCCAUUUGCUAGAACUAGAGGUGGAACAGGGUGGAGCUACACAGUUUGACACCAGUUUUUCCUGUGCUUGAGUUACAGAGCCAAGAAUCAAGUGUCCAGCCCAAGGGCACGUUGCUUUGGAGUUGCAAUUGAUCCUGGGUGCUCUUUUCAUCUCACUGGCCUACAGGUGUUUCCUUUGAGACUCAAUUUCUCUCUCUCUCUCUCUUUUAUCCCAAAUUCCUAUCUCACUACCACUGAGCUUCAUUCUUUAUAUUCCUUAUAUUUUAUUUUGACAGUGUCUCCUAAGUUGCUAAGGCUGGCCUCAAACUGUUGCCCAAAAUCUUGGUCCUUAUCCCCAAUGCCAAUUCAAUAAUGAGGACUUUCUUUUAUCUUUUCUAGUUUUGGACCCAUUCUUAAGUUCAUAUUCUGAAACAGUCCUCAUUAAAGUUAUAUGUACAUUUAAUUUACACAACAAAUUUCAGCCCAGGAGAGGGUUGGACAAUCCAACAUAGAUUAAAACUGUGCCUUACUUUUUUCCUCCCAGGUUGCAUUCAAGGGGUUGGAGCACAGGGUAUUUUUGAGUCUGACCUGUCUCUGUUAUCAUUAUCACAAAUGCCAUCAAAUUUAAGUGAGUUCCCCAACUGUCAAUUGUGCCCACAGUCUCCUUUUGGGCCUUUUUCUUAUACUAGGCCUGUUGAUAUGCAAUGGAGGAGGCCCUUUCCUUCUCUUUCUUUAGGCUUCUUUGAAGAUCUCUUUGCAGAGCCUGCCUACAAAACACAGGUAGGCCUUAGUUUCUUUUUUCUUUUAUUUCUGGGUGCAGGUAUUUAUUCUACUAGUCUCCCCAGGCAUUUAGUUUGAUGGGAUACUAUGACAGCAAGAUUUGCUUUGCCCCAGUGAUGGAUAUCCCCUGGCCAAAUGGGGCAUCCUGUCAGAUCUUAAAAGGGGAGACUGUUCCUGUUGGGCUGGCAGCUUUCCCUGCCCUUUCCCUUCCCCUUCCCCCUCCCCAUCCCAUAGCAUCCAUAGGAGGGGACUUUUUACCUGGCUGAAGAGACCAGGCUCUUAAAAUUUCCCCUAAACUCCGCUGGCCACUAACAGUAGUAACAAUUUAAUUGGCCUAGGCCCUCCUACCUCUAGUGACCUAUAUAGGUUUUGUUCUCACCUUGAGCACACGUGACUUCCCUGGCCCUCACCCUUUUGUGGACAGUUGAACCUCACCUGGGAGUGUCCCCCGCUCUUUCCAAUAAAACUCCUUUUGGUGCCUCAUUCUUGUUCUGUGGUUCCUGGCCUUGCGCCUUUUUUUUUAAAAAAAAUAUAUUUUUUCUUUCUUAGUUUUAGGUGGACACAAUAUCUUUAUUUUACAUAUAUGUGGUUCUGAGGAUCGAACCCAGUGCCUCAUGCAUGCUAGUCAAGCACUGUACCACUGAGCCACAACCCCAGCCCCUUCACACGCCCUUUUAUGCUUUACAUUUGGUACUGAAACCUGGGAGGAGUUCGAGCCUCUCCCCAGCCCUCUCUCCCCCCACCCUUAGGGUCUGAGGCUGCUCCUCUCCACUGAAGGAACCAGCCAAAGGAACGACUGGAUCCCUAGAUCACUUGCCCUCAUCCGAUCCAGCAGAGUGGGGGGACUCAAACCCAUCAUUGAGUGACUACUAGAUCAAGGCCUUCUCAUUCCCAAAGACUCUCCCUGCAACACUCGGAUCCUACCUGACCGCAAACCAUCAGAAGCAUACCGCUUGGUACAAGAUCUCUGUUUAGUCAAUGAAGCAGUUAUUCCCCUUCAUCCAGUGGUCCCUAAUCCUUUACCCUCCUCUCUCACAUACCACCCUCAAACUCUCAUUUCACAGUUCUAGAUCUCAAAGACACCUUCUUCAAAGUCCCAUUUCAUCCAGAUUCUUACUUCCUCUUUGCUUUCACCUGGGAGGACCCUGACACCCUCACAUCAUAUCAAUUAACCUGGACUAUCCUCCCUCAAGGCUUCUGGGAUAGUCCCCAUUUGUUUGGAAAGUGCGGCCUGAGAUUUAGCUCCCUGUGAUCUCAGAGUCAGUACCCUCCUACAAUAUGUAGAUGACCUCCUCUUGUGCAGCCCAUCUUGAAAGACUUCUCAGGAACACACUGCCCACCUACUCAACUUUUUAGGUUCCAGAGGAUACCGAGUUUCCCCAGCCACAGCUCGACUCUAGGUCCCCUUGGUUACCUACCUGGGCAUUCUUCUAACUCCUACCUCCAAAAGCCUCUUUGUAGACAGAAUCCAAGCUCUCGGGAGCUUGCAGCCUACUGAGUCAGCAGAUCAGAUCCUCUCGUUUUGGGGGCUCGCUGGAUUCUUCUGACAUUGGUUUCCCAGCUUUGCUCUUCUUGCCAAGCCCCUUUACCUGGCAGCUAAAUACACUCCUAUUGGACCAUUGACAUCACCAGCCCAGGUCUCUAGAUCUUUCUUCAAACUCAGAGAUGCUUUGAUCUCCUCACCUCCACUAUCCCUACCCAACCUCAACCGUCCCUUCCACCUCUUUACAGAUGAAAAACAAGGGAUUACCACUGGUCUUCUGGCCCAGCCCAUUGGACCCUCCUACAGUCCUGUAGCAUAUCUCUCUAAACAGCUUGACUCUACGGUACAGGGAUGGCUUCCCUGAUUCUGGGCCCUCGCUGCAGUGGCCAAACUUACCAAAGAAUUUCUAAAGUGGACCCUCCUUCAACCUUUGACCUUCUUUUUCACCCAUAGGCUUCAGGACCUCCUUGGACAUAAAUCUCUCUCCCUCCUGGGCCCCUCCCGAAUUCAGGAGUUUCAUUUACUUUUCAUUGAAAACCCCACCAUUUCCCUCUGUGCCUCUCCACCCCUUACCUCGGCUUCUCCUCUCCCAAUGUCUGGUUUUACCCAUCCACCUAUGCACUCUUGUCCUCAAGUCCUUUAGGCCUUACAUAUACCUCAGGAAGUCCUCUUCAACCACCCUUUGGUGGCAACAGACUUGACAUUUUUUUUCUUAAUAUUUUUUUAGUUGUAGUUGGAUACAAUAUCUUUAUUUUAUUUAUUUAUUUUUAUGUGGUGCUGAGGAUCGAACCCAGCGGCUCACGCAUGCUAGGCAAGUGCUCUACCGCUGAGCCUCAGCCCCAGCCCCAGCCCCAGACUUUACAAUUUUUGUAGAUGGAAGCUCAACUGUCGGGCCAGACAAUCGCUGCAGAGCAGCCUAUGCCGUGGUUUCUGCUUCGGCUGUCCUGGAGGCCAGCUGCCUCCCUGGAGUUACAACCUCUCAUCCGAGCUCCCCAGCUUUCAAAAGGCAAGUCAGUUAACAUCUAUACUGACUCCAAAUAUGCCUUUCUUAUUGCACAUUCUCACUCAGCCAUUUGGAAGGAGAGAGGAUUCCUAACUACCAAAGGCUUCCCUGUAGUCAAUCCCUCUCUCAUCUCUAAACUCCUUGAGGCACUCUACCUCCCCCUUUCCAAGUUGCUAUUAUACACUGCUGGGGUCAUCAAACUACUUCCGACCCCAUAACCGAGGGACAUAACAAGGCUGAUGUGAUGGCUAGAAGCUUAACCAGCAAGCCGCCCAUGGCUCCCAUUCUCUUUCUCUCUACACCCACCAAAUUGGCCUAUAUCCAAAUUGACCCCCUGACACGAGGGCACCAGAUCAGAGACAAGAGAUGGAUUUUCCUGGGGCUUAACAUUGCCCUUCCUCAACUCCAAGCCCAAGAUCUCUCCAAUAUCCACAAGUCACUUCACAUGAGUCCCCAACCGCUCUUUCAAUUCUCCAACCUCUCUUUUACCUAUCUGGCAUGGGUGACUUAAUUCAACAGGUCCAUUCCACAUGCUCGAUAUGUUCCUCUGUCAUGCCUUGAGGGGGCCUACAACCCAAGGUCCCCUCUCAUCAGACGCGAGGACACCAACCUGGUGAAGAUUGGCAGGUAGAUUUUACUCAUAUGCCCAGACACAAAAAGUUCUGAUACCUACUCACCCUAGUUGAUACCUUUUCAGGAUGGAUUGAGGUUUUCCCAACCUCUCAAGAGACAACAAACAUUGUGGCCUUAGUCCUCAUUAAGCAGAUCAUCCCAAGUUCGGCCUUCCAAUGUCCAUCCAGUCAGACAAUGGCCCUGCCUUCACUUCUCAGAUAAUCAACAGGUCUCAGAAAGCCUCAACAUCUCCUGGAAACUUCACAUUCCUUACAGGCCAUAGUCCUAGAGUAAGGUUGAGCCGGUCCACGGGAUCCUCAAAGACCACCUUACAAAACUCUCAAUUGAGCUUCGAAUCUUCUGGCCCAAUCUGUUUCUUCUUGUGCUAUUUGAAUCCAAGCCGCCCCUAGAGUCCCCAUAGGGCUCAGUCCCUUUGAAAUGCUCCAUGGCCACUCCUUCCUGAUUAAUCAUAAUCUUCCCAUCCAACCCCCACUCCUGGCCUCAUAUCUACCUUAUCUCACCUUGCUCUGCAGUCUGCUUUGGGAACACAUGGGCUGCCACCUCCCUGCCCCAGCAGAACUAGUACCCUCUGAUGGUCUACUUCAACCAGGAGACUCUGUCCUCUUAAAGGAACUCCAUCCUUGAUCACUCCAACCACGCUGGAUGGUAUCCCAUAUGGUGAUUCUCACCAUCCCUACAUCAGCCAAACUAUUAGGCCAUCCUUCUUGGUAUCACAUUUCUUGCCUCAAGCUUGCCCCAGGCCCUAAGGCCUGGUCAUGACAAUUGGUGGGACCCACUAAACUCAAGAUCAUCUGUGGGCCUCCCACUUCUUUUCCUCUUGAGUCUGUUCCUACAGGUGCCCUGACCUGAAUGAC